rnacentral:lncRNA from 1 species
GUGCGAACUAUAAAAUAGAAAUACAAAUAGAAUUGCAUCAACGAAUAGAAAAAUAUAAAUUAUGGUGCGAAUACAAUAAGUGAUUGUUUAUUUUCAUUAUCAUUCGUUAUUUAUACUCGACGUAGCCAUAUUUUUAAAAAAUACAAAAAAAAGUAUAAUAGAACAAAAGGAGAGAAAGGAAAAAAUUCAAAAAAGAAAAAGAAAUAGAAGUUAG